CAGGGUAUUAUAAAGACGAAGGGCAUGAGAUGUCACCCAGCCUGGGGCCUCAGGGAAGGCUUUUCUGCUGGGACCUCAAAGAAGCAGACCCCAAGAUGAAACUUCUCGUGCAGGUGAUUUAUUAAGAAAGGACCCCCAAGAGAAAGCAACCGACAGCGAUGGCUCAAGAUUGGUCAGGAGACCCAAUUCUGCCCAAUGGGACCUGGGCGGGCUCUGCCGGAGAGCUUCGGGGACAUGUCUUCUCCUAAGAGACGGUCACAGAAUGGUACGGACUCUCCUCUUUCCCUCAACACCGUGGUGCUUGGGUGUGAGCCCUCAGAACUGCAGCUCUUUCAACCGACCUGAGGAUAAGAACCAACACGGAGAUCGCCAAAGCGAAGAGGUGGCCUGAACCCGCGUCCUGCGUGGCAUUGUGGAGUCAUCAUCAGCCGUCCCAGAAGCUCUCCCUACCCCUACCCCGUCUCUGAUGUGAGAUGAUAAAGAUCCUUUUUGCUUAA